CUUUACAAUGAUUCACUUUUAUAAAUGGUUAAAACAUUUUAACCGCAAAUUAUAAUUUUUAACCUUAAAACUUGGCAGUCUUACAAAUAGGAAUUAUAGGUAUAAGUACUUUGUUCCAGAAAUCGUAUAGCAGGUACUACGUAGCUGACUGUACGCACUUGUGUCGUCACCAAUUGGUUCGUCUCGUCGCUAAGGCUGAGCGUUUUAUCGUGGAAACCGGUCAUCUCAACAAUCGUCCGGUAUGCAGACGCGGCGCGGGAAAUAAAUUCUGUCGACUAUUCCAUGGUGAGGUUAAGGAUCAUUUAAAAAGAAACAAAAACAAAAAUUCACGUGGUCCGUGACCGUGACGUGUAGACAGUAUACGCUUCGGGCGAAGAACAAGACAGAAAAAAAACUCGUUAUCACGGUGACUGUGUCUACAAUAUUUUAUACUGCACAUAGGGCUUUACCCGUGACUCGAUAAAUAAUGACUUUAAUUAAAAUUCAUAAUUAUCAA